UGGGGCGUGGCCAAGUGGUAAGGCAGCGGGUUUUGGUACCGUUACUCGGAGGUUCGAAUCCUUCCGUCCCAG
rfam:Triticum aestivum genome assembly, contig: Triticum_aestivum_CS42_TGACv1_scaffold_061344_1DL